GACCAGCUCAUCAGCCCUCUCUGCUUGAAAUGAUUAGUGUAGAUCAUCAUCAGUUAAGGCACUUUUGACAUCAUAACAAGAAUCACCAUCGGAACAGUCAGGCAGUCACACCAACUGUGUCCACUGCUCACCGACUUUUGUCCUUUGAGAAAGAGCGGCACGUGGCAGGCCGUGGAGACAUUAGCUCGGGGCCUGGGAGGCUGGGAAACAGGGCCAAGUCCACUCCUCCUUCCUGCCGGGCCUGGCUGUGUGGGAGAAGGACAAACACCAAGGAAUGUCUGCGUGGACUGGGCCUAGUGAGACCAGAAGCUGCAGGAGCUGACUGCAGAGCUACUCCUGGGCAACUGUUGUGAGGCAGAUGGGGCAGGAAUUAUGAACCACUCAGGAAGGACACAGAUGAGCUCGGGACAUGGAGCAGCCGCCAGAGAGGUCCAGAGAGAAAGGUGGCCUUGUGCUGGCCUCGCUCUGCCAUGCUGAGACCCCGCAGCGACAUUCUCCAUGCCACGAAAUCCCCGCGAAAGUCACUGACCUGAAAGAAUCAGCAUUUGCUCGUGUGAACAACAUAACUCUUGGCCUAGAAGAUAAACCCACAAAACAUCGUCACAAAAGGUUCUCCCACAAUGGCGGCAGCUCAGCCCACAGCCUUGCUGCUGCACUCUGCCCCAUCCUCUGCUAUGAAGACUUUG